AGUAGCCCGCGACACGGCUGUCCGAAAUGGAUAUGGCCCGCAGGCCGAAAAAGGUUGGGCAUCACUGGUCUACACUAUUCAGUGUCUAUGGUUUGAGCACAAUCCAUUUCCUUUUUCGUAUCUUCUAACUUAAAAACAAACAAACGCAUACACACAGAGUAAAUUUUAUUGUCUUCAUCUUUUUUCAUUGUAGGUAUAAAAUAUAGUUAAGGAUAGCAGAGUGAUUUUUAUAGCUUUCAGCUUUUAUACUGUUUAGGCAAAAUAUACUUAAUGCAAAUUUCCAUUUUUAUAGAAAUGGUUUCUUAAAUCUCAAACUUUAUUAUUAGUUUGAAAUUGUCAUUAAUGGUUUUAUAUAUAUAUACCUCUCUCUCACACGCACGCACAUACAGACAAGGAGAAGGGAGAAAGGAAAAGGAGUAAUAGAGAUUAACGCGAUUAGACUGCCGAGCACAGUGUGUGUUUGACCUUUCCGUAAGGGUGACAGGAAAACAAAUACGUCUUUUAUCAUCAAGCCUUCAUCAGCACCAUUCCCGCUGCUGAAACGUUUGCUAAUGUUUCCUCAAGGGGGUGAAAAACAGCUUAGAUGUGAACAGAGUAUCAAACAAAUAAAUCCCUGGCAGAUAUCACCCGGCCUGUCAUCUGAACAGUCCCGCUUAUUUCGAACCACAAGCGCCCUCUUCUGCAUCCGGCCAGGAUCUCGGCGCAGCCCGGGACCUCGUGAGACGCGAGAUAAAAGCUGCCAGGGACCGCAAGUUGCGCAAAGCAUACGUCACACCGCCACGCUCAUAAGCGCCCUUGACAAGAUGGCGUGAUUACGAGGUGACGACGGCCCCCUCCUCCUGCUCGUAACGCAGCGUGGGACGGCGUGUCGACCGGGUCCUCUCAAUGAUGACAGUUAUAACGUGGGAAGGUGGCGGAUAUUACCCUCAGUUUCUUCUGGUCUGCACACAUGUGACGUCAUCGACUUCCUUGCUCAUGGCGGCCCCGGCAAGUGACGCAGCAACUGCUACAGCAGCAGCAGCUGUAUCCUUGAUGUCUGCUGCAACUACUGCACUUCGUCUGACGGCAGCCGCCACUGUGCAAACAUCCACACCACAGCCUCCACAUCCAGGUCGCUUUUACUAGGCCGCAAAUGCCAGAGAACAGAAAACUGCCAGAUGAUGGGUGCCGCUUGAAGACCACCACCACCAUCUCCACCACCGCCACCGCCACCACCACCUUCACCAUCACCACCACCACCACGGCCUUGGCGUCGAGGUGGGCUUGCCACAGAAACAGUCUGCAGCUUGACAUCCGGUUUUGUAAAUUCAUUUCUUAAAUUAAAAGCUCACGCCCAAACACCUGAUUUUCGUCUGCCAAGAUUAAUUGCGCACCUGCGCAUGGUGAGUGAAGUGAGAGAGAGAGAGUGCAGUAGUGUGCACAGGUGAAACACAGAUUUUGACAGCCAAGAGGCGAACGUUUACAAUCUUCUCUACUUUCCUGCUUCCUGUAACUAAACUGUUGCAAGAUUGUUC